rnacentral:tRNA from 1 species
GGUCUCUUGGCUCAGUUGGUUAAAGGCACCGUGUUAAUAACGCGGGGAUCCAGCGGUUGGAUCCCGCUACAAAGAGACCA